UACAGAGGGUGCAAGCGUUGUUCGGAAUUACUGGGCGUAAAGGGCUCGUAGGCGGCCAACUAAGUCGGAUGUGAAAUCCCCAGGCUCAACCUGGGAACUGCAUCCGAUACUGGAUGGCUUGAAUUCGGGAGAGGGAUGCAGAAUUCCAGGUGUAGCGGUGAAAUGCGUAGAUAUCUGGAGGAAUACCGGUGGCGAAGGCGGCAUCCUGGACCGACAUUGACGCUGAGGAGCGAAAGCCAGGGGAGCAAACGGG
rnacentral:rRNA from 1 species